GUGGGGCUCGAUCCCAGGACUCUGGGAUCAUGACCUGAGCCAAAGGCAGAGGCUUUAACCCACUGAGCCACCCAGGCGCCCCUGAUUGGUUCUUCCUAACCCUUUGCCUGACUGUCAGCAACUGGCCCAGCCUGGGAUUACCAGAUGCUGGAUGUUGUAUGUGGAGAUGUUUUUCACCUUUAAACUCUAAGCCAGGUAUAGAUAAAUCCUUGAUACGUGUCUAUUUUAUAUCAGUCACUGAGACAUUUUUUAAGUUUCUAUUUAUUGAAACAACUUUACCAAAAAAAAAAAAAACGUCCCC